CCCACUGAUUAACAGUCCGCCGGACGGUAUCGGCCUGUCAGUUGUUCGGAACUGUCAACUUUUUGUUCUAACUGACAGGCCGAUUCCGUCCGGCGGACUGUUAAUCAGUGGGCCCCUUCAAACUUAACAUUAAGCUCGCCUUCAAUUGUUUUCGAUUUGAAUAAUAUACAGGGAGCUUGAUUUCUAUUAGAAUACCAAAAUCCGCCAAUCUAAAAAGAUCAUAAUGUUACCGAAAGCGGUUAAUAAGGGCGUUCACAGUAUUCAAACUAUACGCUUGACAAUGCACCGAUGUAAUACAUGAGUACAGUAAAUAGGCAACUAAACCGACAUAUUAUAAUAACUGACAGAACCUCCCUGCAUUACCAAUUAGUGACGGCUUAGCUUAAAGGUCCCGGCCUUAAACGUGAUGGGGUUAGUCUAUAGGCGUAUUAGUCAAAUCCCCGGCAGCGGUGCCUUUACUGCGUACUAUUUUGUUUGUUUCUAAGCUUAUACCUUGCAUAGUUUGGCCUUAAAAUUAGUUAUAACAGCACGGUAAUAGAGGUCAGAUGUAUACUACCAUUAAACUGGACGGUAGUACAUUUGUAUUCGGGUGCGGCGCGUGCGCACAGUUACGUUCCGACGAAUAGCUGUGCGCGGGUUAACAGAAACGUGGAUUAGUAACGUGAGACUUUAUUCCGAAUUCUGAGCGCGGUUGGUGCUUGGGAUACUUAAAAGUCACUUGUUUCUUAUUUGAAGUUCUACUAAGCAUUACCACAGAAUAAAUAACAAAAUUGCUAGGCUUUACCGUCAAAGAAGAUCUUGUAAUAAUAAUGUUUAUUUCUGUGUUUUUCGGUCAACGUAAAAUCUACGAUUAUUAAGACCUUGCACCAUAAAUCAUAAUUCACUGAAAUAAGACGGAUAAAUCAAUGCCAUUUGAGCGCCCAGAGUAUUAAAUCACCUAAAAUAAAGGCUGUAAAUUAUGCUUGUUACAAUUUGCAGUAGUUAUUUGCCAACGAGAUAAAAAAAAGUACGAUAAUGUAGUACGCAACUCACUUGUUUACUUUACGUCAAUUUUCCUUGACGCUAAUUAAGGAUAAACGUAAAUUACUAUAAUGCCAGUUAUGUAUACAAUUUAGUUCAUGGUUACGUUUGUAUAAUCUCAAAACCGUACGUAAAAAAGUGUAAGUUUCUGAUAGAAAACUUUGGCUGUUUCAAAAAUUACCUUAAUUGCCGCAAAUUAAUUCUGUUGGUGGUAAUAAAGUAGAUGAAAUUAAACAACUCGAAGGAAACUACAUAAAAUAUGAGCUUCAUAAUAUUAAUCUCCUUUCGCCAUCGUAGUUGUUUGCCUCGGCACAGCCAACUCUUGCCCGCAGCUGUAUCAUAAAACUACUUUUUACUACGAAUAUUAAACAGUUCCAGAGAGCCCCGUUUAACGACACCAAAUAACAGGUCACAGUGAAAUUACAUAUUUUGUACUGAUGCUUAAAUGCCUGUCGUGGGCAUACAACCGUCCUUCUAAAACCGGUCUCAUGCGAAAGGGAUGCAAGUUCUGCGUUAGACGCCCGGACAGGGGUUCCCAACCGUUUGAGCAUCGGGCGCCUCUUGGUGACAAUGACAACAAUCUUUGAAGACCCACUAAAGUGGUUGGAAAAAUAAAGGAAAAUCUUCGUACUUUGGAGACGUAAAGUCUUUUUUUCGGUUUUAACCCUAAAACUAGUGUUUAAAGUAGGUCUUUAAUCAUGUCACUCGGGGUUAGAACAUAUUAAAUUACACCUAAUGCAGCUUUUUAAAUUUUAACAGAUUUUAAAUAACAUAUUAAUUACUCUAAAUAUAGUUGGACAACAGAAAACUGUGUCAAGUUUUCGUGUUUCCACCGGUCAAACAUUUGAUGUUAAUGCCAUAAGGAACAACAAAUAUGUCUCCCACCUUAAUCACUCUUAUUGGGUAUCUAAUUAAAUGUAUUAAUUUGCUCUAAAGUAGGUACUUUCCCCUACUAUGUACUAUGUAGGAUUAAAAUAACAUCGGUUGUUUCGAAAACAGCCCAGACAUUUGUUUCUGAAGCGACCGAUAUAAUUUGUGGUUCGCUUUUGAUGGUUCUACAUAAAUGUAGACAUAGUUUAAUCUAGAUCUUUCAAACUAUGAAUUCCAAAUAUUUUCCGAAGUGGUGGAGGGUUGGAAUUAACAUUGUGAUAAAAUUGCGCGUCCUGGUUUCAUUCUAUUUUAUACGAUUAGAACGGACGACGUUAGAUUUUAUGCGAGUUAACCCUUUAGCAGUUCAACUUUUCUGUCAUUUGACAAGAAAGCUUAUACUUUAAAUAUAAUUGUGCUUUAAAUGAAAAAACGUCGCGGUUGUCCAUUGCAGGGGAUAGAUUGCGUUAAGAAAUUUUAUGUAAAAUGGAAUUGAAAGGUUAGAAACCAAUAUUGGCUGGUAGAGCUUAUUAAGUGCAGGGUGCAUAAAUAUUUGGAGUUUUUAGACUUGUUGAUAUUAUAUUGAAUUUAAUAUUAAAUUAUGUAUAUAAAGUAGCAAUAAGUAUGAUAAUACGCUGUAAAAUAUAAUCUGUACGUAUUUUAAAUUAAGUUUUAUCAAUUAGGGAUACUUGCCUUUGUAGAAUUUGAUUAAGUUUUGACUGUUUGAUUUAAAUGAACUACUGUAAUAGUUAAUAAUCAAUGCAUUUCCUAUUUGAGUCAAUGCAAUAUUUUGACGUAAUGUAUGUACAAGAAUAUGUAGUCAAAUACGUCAUAUAGUAAUAUAAUCAAGGAGGGGUAAUUAUACAGAAGUUUUUU